GUAUGUGUUUGCUGGCUCUGACCUGGGACCGAUACCGACCGAAGUGAAAUGUAGAACUGCAACUGGAGGGCAAAAGAAAGCUCGCACACCUGGAUCUUUUAGGCCACAGAAACAUCCACUGCUGCUAAAACAAGGUUCUCUGUAGGACUGCUGGGCGAUGGCUGCUCUCAGGGCUUGUCUUACUCUUUUCAUC